GACGAACCGUGCGAACGUUGUUCGGAAUCACUGGGCUUAAAGGGCGCGUAGGCGGGCUGCCAAGUCUGGGGUGAAAUCCUCCGGCUCAACCGGAGAACGGCCUCGGAUACUGGCGGUCUCGAGGGAGGUAGGGGCGUGCGGAACUAAGGGUGGAGCGGUGAAAUGCGUUGAUAUCCUUAGGAACUCCGGUGGCAGAGGCGACGCUGGACCUUUUCUGACGCUGAGGCGCGAAAGCCAGGGGAGCAAACGGGG
rnacentral:rRNA from 1 species